AUUGAACGCUGGCGGCAGGCCUAACACAUGCAAGUCGAACGAGUGGCGGACGGGUGAGUAAUGUCUGGGAAACUCCCUGAUGGAGGGGGAUAACUACUGGAAACGGUAGCUAAUACCGCAUACCAUCGGAGGUGCCCAGAUGGGAUUAGCUUGUAGGUGGGGUAACGGUUCAUCUAGGCGACGAUCCCUAGCUGGUCUGGGAGGAUGACCGGCCACACUGGAACUGAGCAACGGUCCAGACUCCUGAGGGAGGCAGCAGUGGGGAAUAUUGCACAAUGGGCGAAAGCCGGAUGCAGCCAUGCGGCGUGUAUGAAGAGGGCCUUCGGGUGGUAAAGUACUUUCAGCGAGGAGGCGUUACCCGCAGAAGAAGCACCGGCUAACUCCGUGCCAGCCGCCGCGGUAAUAC
rnacentral:rRNA from 1 species